GAUGAAGAACGUAGCGAAAUGCGAUAAGUAAUGUGAAUUGCAGAAUUCAGUGAAUCAUCGAAUCUUUGAACGCACAUUGCGCCCGCCAGUAUUCUGGCGGGCAUGCCUGUCUGAGUGUCAUUUCAACCCUCAUGCCCCUAGGGCGUGGUGUUGGGGAUCGGCCAAAGCCCGCGAGGGACGGCCGGCCCCUAAAUCUAGUGGCGGACCCGUCGUGGCCUCCUCUGCGAAGUAGUGAUAUUCCGCAUCGGAGAGCGAUGAGCCCCUGCCGUUAAACCCCCAACUUUCCAAGGUUGACCUCAGAUCAGGUAGGAAUACCCGCUGAACUUAAGCAUAUCAAUAAGCGGAGGA
rnacentral:misc_RNA from 1 species